rnacentral:rRNA from 1 species
UCCCAUUGAUCCUGUGGGAGGUUGCUGCUAUCUGGGUUCGAUUAAGCCAUGCAAGUAUUCUAGCAAUAGAUGCAGAAUGCUCAGUAACACGUCGAUAACCUGCCCUUAAGUCUGGAAUAACCUUGGGAAACUGAGGCUAAAACCGGAUAUGAAAGAGUAUCUGGAAAGAUCUUUUUUAGAAAAGCAAUGCUUAAGGAUGGGUCGGCGGCCGAUUAGGCUGUUGGUGAGGUAAUGGCUCACCAAACCUAUGAUCGGUAGGGGCCAUGAAAGUGGUAGCCCCGAGAAGGACACUGAGGUACUGGUCCUAGCCCUACGGGGUGCAGCAGGCGCGAAACCUCUACAAUAUACGCAAGUGUGAUAGGGGGACCCAGAGUGCUUAUCUCUAAGAUAAGCUUUUGUCAAGGGUAAAUACCUUGAAGAAUAAGUGGUGGGCAAGACUGGUGCCAGCCGCCGCGGUAACACCAGCGCCACGAGUAGGAACCGCGUUUAUUUGGUCUAAAGCAUCCGUAGCAGGAUUGACAAGUUCUUUGUGAAAUUGUUGGGCUUAACCUAACAGCGUGCAAAGAAGACUAUCUUUCUCGAGACUGGAGAGGAGUUAGAGGUAUUCUGGGGGGAGCGGUAAAAUGCUAUAAUCCCCAGACGACCACCUGUGGCGAAGGCGUCUAACUAGAACAGUUCUGACUGUGAGGGAUGAAAGCUGGGGGAGCGAUCCGGAUUAGAUACCCGAGUAGUCCCAGCCGUAAACUCUGCGAGGUAGGUGUUGCAUGGUCUUCGUGACUAUGCAGUAUCGUAAUGAAGGUGUUAAGCUCGCCACCUGGGGAGUACGGUCGCAAGACUGAAACUUAAAGGAAUUGGCGGGGGAGCACUACAAGGGGUGCGGCGUGCGGUUCAAUUCAAUUCAACGCGGGGAAUCUCACCAAGGGCGACGGCAGGAUGAAGGCCAGUCUAACGGGCUUGCCUAACAAGCCGAGAGGUGGUGCAUGGCCAUCGCCAGCUCGUGCCGUGAGGUGUCCAUUUAAGUAUGGUAACGAGCGAGACCUGUAUCCACAAUUGCUAACGAGUUCUUCAGAACGAUCGAGCACAUUGUGGGAACUGCUUUGGAAACAAAGAGGAAGGUGCAGGCAACGAUAGGUCUGUACGCCCCGAAUCUCUUGGGCAACACGCGCGCAACAAUGGUAAUGACAAUGGGAUACGACUCCGAAAGGAGAAGUUAAACCUCUAAACAUUAUCUUAGUCCAGAUUGAGGAUUGUAACUCAUCCUCAUGACGUUGGAAUCCCUAGUAAUCAGGUUUUAUCAUAGCCUGGUGAAUAUGUCCCUGCUCCUUGCACACACCGCCCGUCAAUCCAACCGAGCAUGGUUUAAGUGAGAUAUAGUUUAUUGAUUAUGUCGAACUUAAGCUAAGUGAGGUGGGAUAAGUCGUCACAAGGUA